rnacentral:tRNA from 1 species
GUUUGCGUAGCGCAGUGGCAGCGCGGAUCCCUUACGACUGCAAGGCUGGGCACCUCCCUCCUUGGCCUGAACGGAUUAGGUCGUCGGUUCGAACCCGGCCGUGAACA